rnacentral:rRNA from 1 species
UAUCCGGAUUUAUUGGGUUUAAAGGGAGCGUAGGCGGGUGCUUAAGUCAGUUGUGAAAGUUUGCGGCUCAACCGUAAAAUUGCAGUUGAUACUGGGCGCCUUGAGUGCAGCAUAGGUAGGCGGAAUUCGUGGUGUAGCGGUGAAAUGCUUAGAUAUCACGAAGAACUCCGAUUGCGAAGGCAGCUUACUGGACUGUAACUGACGCUGAUGCUCGAAAGUGUGGGUAUCAAACAGGAUUAGAUACCCUGGUAGUCCACACAGUAAACGAUGAAUACUCGCUGUUGGCGAUACACAGUCAGCAGCCAAGCGAAAGCAUUAAGUAUUCCACCUGGGGAGUACGCCGGCAACGGUGAAACUCAAAGGAAUUGACGGGGGCCCGCACAAGCGGAGGAACAUGUGGUUUAAUUCGAUGAUACGCGAGGAACCUUACCCGGGCUUAAAUUGCAGCGGAAUGUAGUGGAAACAUUACAGCCUUCGGGCCGCUGUGAAGGUGCUGCAUGGUUGUCGUCAGCUCGUGCCGUGAGGUGUCGCUUAAGUGCCAUACGAGCGCACCCUUAUCUAUAGUUACUAUCAGGUCAUGCUGAGGACUCUAUGGAAACUGCCGUCUACGAUGUUAGGAAGGUGGGGA